rnacentral:tRNA from 1 species
GAAGGGGUGACUGAGUGGUUAAUAGUGUCAGAUUGUAAAUCUGUUGGUUUUUCCAUCGUAGGUUCGAAUCCUAUCCCCUUCUUGU